GCUGUGGUAGCUCAGUGGAUUGAGCGUCAUCCCAUGGACCAAGAGGUCCUGGGUUCGAUUUCCGGUCAUGGCA
rnacentral:tRNA from 1 species